CGCGCUCGCCCUCGCUCCGCCGCGCCUCUGCUGCCUCCGCCCUUGGUCUUUGGUCCUGCUCGCAGAUCAGAGGAGUUCCCGCGCCACUUCUCUCUCUCCCUCCGGGGUCGGCACGAUCCUCGUCUGCUAAAUCGACGCUCCUCGCCAGGCUGUAGGCCGGGCUCCGAGCGCGAGCGCCAGAGCGACCCUCCGGCGGCAGUGAGUGCGCAGCGCCCCUGCGGCCCGCGGCGGCGGCCACGCCUCGUAACCGCACCCCGGCCGCUCGCGGGCCCCACGGCUCCCGCUUUCGCCACUCGCCCGUUAGUCUUCUGCGCCUCACCGGACGCCUUGUCUGCGGGCUGCGGACCCCACCCGGGACGCAAGAUGGCGACGGCCGCGUGACUGAGCAUCCCCAAGACGCCUCUCAGUGGACGCGCCGCGGACUGGCUUUGCAGGCAGGGAAGGGGUGAGAGCAGGACUCUGGUGCCAUUUGUUCCUUGUGAUCGUGUGAAGCUUGCCUUCCUCAGGUCUGCCCGGGAGGAGUCUUGAUACUGUCCUAAGUCCUAGAGCACGGUGAGCUUACGUCUAAUCCGUGUUUGUAGAAUUGGCGCCCCAGAUAGUUGGGAAAAUGGCGAUGACACUGUUGGAAGAUUGGUGCAGAGGGAUGGAUGUGAACUCCCAGAGGGCUCUGCUGGUCUGGGGGAUCCCAGUGAACUGUGAUGAGGCUGAAAUCGAAGAGACCCUCCAGGCUGCAAUGCCCCAGGUGCCCUACCGAGUACUUGGGAGAAUGUUUUGGAGGGAAGAGAAUGGGAAAGCAGCCUUGUUAGAACUCACUGGCGCUGUCGAUUAUGCCGCGAUCCCCAGGGAGAUGCCAGGCAAAGGAGGGGUCUGGAAAGUGCUCUUUAAGCCCCCAACUUCCAAUGCAGAAUUUUUAGAAAGGUUGCACAUCUUCCUAGCUAGAGAGGGGUGGACCGUGCAAGAUGUUGCCCGUGUCCUUGGGUUUCAGAACCCUACUCCAGCCCCAGGCCCAGAGAUGCUUAACUAUGUCUUGGAUAAUGUUAUUCAGCCUCUCGUUGAGUCUAUAUGGUACAAGAAGCUGACGCUUUUCUCGGGGAGGGACAUCCCGGGGCCUGGGGAGGAAACCUUUGAUCCCUGGCUGGAGCACACUAAUGAGGUCAUACAGGAGUGGCUGGUGUCUGAUGUGGAAAAGAGGCGGCGGUUGAUGGAGAGUCUUAGAGGGCCGGCUGCUGAUGUCAUUCGCAUCCUCAAAACCAGCAACCCUGCUAUAACCACUACUGAAUGCCUGAAGGCGCUUCAGCAGGUGUUCGGGAGCGUGGAGAGCUCAAGGGAUGCGCAGGUCAAAUUUCUGAACACUUACCAGAAACCUGGAGAAAAGUUAUCUGCCUAUGUCAUUCGUCUGGAGCCUCUGCUGCAGAAGGCAGUGGAAAUGGGGACCAUAGAUAAAGUUAACAUGAACCAGGCCCGCUGGGAGCAGGUCAAUGCCCGGACCAACCAGAGCGGGGCCAUCCGGAGGCUGCGGAAGGGCUGGCCCCAAACCACUUCCAGUUGCUGGUGGGGAUCCCGGAGGAGAAAGUCAAGGAGGAGGAGGAGGAGGAAGCUGAGACAGCCCUCCUGCAGUUAGGCCUAGAGGGGCACUUCGGAGUCCCCUAAAGGGGCUUUAGUGCAGACCUAGGUCACAGCUGCUUCCUUGUCCCCGUGGAGUCUUAGAGGUGGGUGUGUCUCUGAAUAGUAAAGACUUACCCUGUUCUAUUUUGGGGUUUUGUUGUUAUUGUUUUGAAGGAGUGGUUGGGGUAGGGAUAAUCAAGCCUGCAUAUUCAGGUUAACAUUUGUAAAAUUGUGCAAGCAAACACUGUGAGCUGCUGCAAGUGGGUCAUGAGGAAAAGGCAGUAAAGGUUUGGACACAAGUGCCCAGUGCAGGCUGUCAUCAAGGCAUCAUCAUCGGUUGUGAAAAACACAUUGAACCUGUGACUCUUCCAAUUGUGACAAUUAAAUGUGAAAUUGCAUGUUCAGAUGUUUAAUGCAGGGGAUGGCUCACAGAAAAUGUUCUGUAAAAUUAUGAACUGUUGUAUUGUUACUAAAUCGUGGAUAGUUUGUUUCUUGUAAAUUGUUCCAUAUUUAUAUUAAUGGAAAGAAAUAUGAAUUUAUUAGGUAUUAGUUACUCAACUUUACAAUGCAGAUUUCUUGCUUCUCAUCUUUAAAUACAUGGAUCAGUUUAAAAUGGGGUAUUAGAAAAAUACUGCAAUCAUGAAGCUGUGUAAAUCAAAUUUUCACUGCAUGAGAUACAAGAUACAAAUCACAGGGGGUGGUUGAUAGGACCCAGUUACAGUAUGUCACGGACUGGUUCUUGUUAAUGCUGAAUUUAAGGGUUCUAAAUUUGAAGUUAUCAAAUAGAUGUAUAUGAAUAAAGAUAUUUUAAAAAUUCAAAAAAA